rnacentral:lncRNA from 1 species
GCCACACCUCUCCUUCCUCACUGCUUGGUGGAUGAGCUGCCAGGUCCUGCCAAUCCCUACUGCCCUCCUGCACUGAAAGGAGCCUCCUUGGGAGCAAAUGUCCUGCCACCCCUCUCUGAUCUGCCCUGGACUCCUUCCUGGUGACCUCUGGCUCCAGCCAGAUCACACAGAAGUGCCAGAGCCAGUCCCAUGAAUCCAGAACGAAACACUUCAUGGGGGCCCACGGCUCCUGCCACAAGAAAGGAGGGCCACAUUCUGAUUUCAGAGCUGCCAGCCCCCUGUGUGAAAGUCUGCUUUUGUACUUCAUAUGUAUCUAUAUCUAGCCAUGAAUAAUAUAAGAUACUGUUUUGUGGGUAUUUGUAAAUAGAUGGUUUUCAUAUACAAUAGAUCACUCUGAAGCUUGCUUUUUA